GGGGAUGUAGCUCAGUGGUAGAGCACUUGCCUAGCAUGCCCCAUGGUCCUGGGUUCAAUCCCCAGCAUUCCAA
rnacentral:tRNA from 1 species